rnacentral:rRNA from 1 species
CUCAGGACGAACGCUGGCGGCGUGCUUAACACAUGCAAGUCGAACGAUGAACCACCUUCGGGUGGGGAUUAGUGGCGAACGGGUGAGUAACACGUGGGCAAUCUGCCCUGCACUCUGGGACAAGCCCUGGAAACGGGGUCUAAUACCGGAUACUGAACCGCUUGGGCAUCCAGGCGGUUCGAAAGCUCCGGCGGUGCAGGAUGAGCCCGCGGCCUAUCAGCUUGUUGGUGAGGUAACGGCUCACCAAGGCGACGACGGGUAGCCGGCCUGAGAGGGCGACCGGCCACACUGGGACUGAGACACGGCCCAGACUCCUACGGGAGGCAGCAGUGGGGAAUAU